rnacentral:rRNA from 1 species
CGUAUAUUUAAGUUGUUGCAGUUAAAAAGCUCGUAGUUGGAUUUCGGUUAAGAGCGACCGGUCCGCCGUUUGGUGUGCACUGGUUGGUUUUAACUUCCUGUAGAGGACGUGCUCUGGGCUUAACGGUCUGGACUCGGAGUCUACGUGGUUACUUUGAAAAAAUUAGAGUGUUCAAAGCGGGCUUACGCUUGAAUAUUUCAGCAUGGAAUAACACUAUAGGACUCCUGUCCUAUUUCGUUGGUCUCGGGACGGGAGUAAUGAUUAAGAGGAACAGUUGGGGGCAUUCGUAUUUCAUUGUCAGAGGUGAAAUUCUUGGAUUUAUGAAAGACGAACUUCUGCGAAAGCAUUUGCCAAGGAUGUUUUCAUUAAUCAAGAACGAAAGUUGGGGGCUCGAAGAUGAUUAGAUACCAUCCUAGUCUCAACCAUAAACGAUGCCGACUAGGGAUUGGCGGAUGUUAAUUGAUGACUCCGCCAGCACCUUAUGAGAAAUCAAAGUUUUUGGGUUCCGGGGGGAGUAUGGUCGCAAGGCUGAAACUUAAAGGAAUUG